UACGUAGGCAGCGAGCGUUGUUCGGAGUUACUGGGCGUAAAGAGUGUGUAGGCGGUUCGCCAAGUUCGGUGUGAAAUCUCCCGGCUCAACUGGGAGGGUGCGCCGAAUACUGGCGGGCUUGAGUGCGGGAGAGGAAAGCGGAAUUCCUGGUGUAGCGGUGAAAUGCGUAGAUAUCAGGAGGAACACCUGCGGUGUAGACAGCUUUCUGGACCGCGACUGACGCUGAGACACGAAAGCGUGGGGAGCAAACAGG
rnacentral:rRNA from 1 species